rnacentral:lncRNA from 1 species
AACAAAUAACGAAUAAUCAAAUAAACUAAAUUAAUUGAAAACCGUUCCCCGGCAACGGCGCCAAAAACUUGAUGUGCACAAAAGUACCCACUAAUUUUAAUAUUUAUAACCUAACAAACUUAGACUAUCUAUGCACUUAUAGGCAGUGUACCUAGUCAGAUUAUAGUAUAGCUUAGGUAAGUCGGGUGUCGAUCAUAGGGAACGGUGGAUUAAUUUAAUAUAUUUGGUUAUAGGUUAUAUGUCACACGAAAAGAAUAAAGAAAUAAAUAUCAAACUAACAAUUAACAACUCUCGAUAAACUAACAGGAAAGCACAUCUCUUCAGAUACUUUGGUUUAGAUAAAUUACACCUUAAAAACAUAGACAAUUGCAUACACAAAUUCAUUUAUUCAUGUUCACCGAUUCCUAAAAUGAUUAGAUUCGCGUUCACUAUAACUAAUCCUUUAGCAAACAAGUCAAUUUAAACAGUGAUCAGUUGAUUAAACUAACAUGCUUCCUAGUGUUCAGUUCGUAUCGAGCAAGACUUGUAAAUAUAGUUAAUCAAUUUAGACAUUUAAUUAACCUCUUGUUGAUGGUCAUCAAACAAGGCUCACACAUUAACUUACUUAUUCUCAAAUUAAUCCUAGUUUCACAUUCGUUAUUUCUAGUCUUAUAAUCUCGAUGGUCAUCAAAAAUCAUAAGAGACAAGCAAAUCAAGCAGAUAUUCAUACAACUUAAUUCACUUUACAAUUAACAGAAAAUAAUCAUCAUUAACACAUGAGGAUAUUUUAACAAGCUUGGCAAGAUAAAUUAGACACAAAUAAACUAUUUAAUAUAGCAAUUAGUCUAAUAAUCAAAGCUUCAUUCAAUCAUAAACACAAAGUAAAAGGUUUUUACACCUAAAUCAGAAACUAAAUACAGAAAAGUACCACAAUGGAAUGCUAAACAUGGUCACGUUAGCAAUCCAUAUGAUUACCGACAUGUAUUCGCUCUCCAAUCCUUCCGAUCUCUGCUCCCGUUAGCUUAACGGCCUUCCAGCCGCCUCCUAGACCCUCAAAACGGCAACUAUGAAGUUUUCUUGUUGCACAAGUCGAAGUGGAAUAUCAUAGAUUAUGAAACUGGUGGAAUGAUAUGGGGUAUUUAUAGUUGAUGGAGAUGGAAUUAUAUGGCAUAUUAGAGUUGGAUUGCAAUAAGGAAACUAAUGUGGCUUAGGGAUUAAGCAAAUAAAGAUAAGGAAUGUGGUGCUUGGGGAAUAAGUAACUUGGAGGGAAUUUCCGUCAAGCUUUUAUGCUUCAUCUUCAAGGCCGAUUUUGGAUAAGAUAAGUGUUGAAUUAGCUAAAAGUCCCUCUCACAUAAGUCGUAGGAAAUUUCGUCUAGUUUCCAGAACAUUUUGAAUCUCGUCAAUUGGACUUGUGAGUCAUCAGAUAUACCCGAAACACUGAAGAGGGGUCAAUCUGCCAACAAUAUCCUUUUUGCAUCUUUUCAGCUCCAUUCUCUUCAUUUUGCAUUCCAACUCCCAUUUUUACUGUAAUUAAAUAUUUCAAAGCAUAUUAAGUAUAUUUUAGUUCUAAAUAAUAAUAAUAAAGGCUAAAAUAUUAAGAUAUGUUUUACAUAAAUAUAUAUAAAAACACACAUAUCAAGUGUUGUAAUACUAGAGGCUAGAUGUAGCAUCCACUAGGUUGGUAAGUGGUUGAGGGGGUGUGUGAAGUCUACGACAUGGCUCGUAGCGUUCUCUAUGAUUAUUCGUACCAUCAUAGAAAUGGGUGUUGGGUUGUGGGAGAGCCACAACAUUCUUGAUUUUUAGAUAGAUCAUAGGCCGAUGUACGGGGCGGAGGUGAUGUGUGACUACAGAUCGGUUUGUAGUAUUUGCUUGGAGUGAAGAGAACUUAGCGAUUAUGCGUGAAAUGUGAUUGGUUGGGAUAGCUCUGUUAAAUGGAAUGGUUGUUGGAAUCAUUUUGACGAAUAGGCUAUAGUAGCCUUUAUUGGUUCAACUUAUGGGUCGGGAGCCGAUCUUGUAUUUAAAGUUGGUGUUAAGCAUUGUAAGGUAGUUGGGGCUUAAGUUUGCGGAUAUCAGUGGAUAGUUCAGGUCGGGCAAGGUAGUUUAGUUUGGGGUUCGGAGCCGAAUCAUCAUGAGUUUGGUAUUGGAAUGGUUCUGUCUAUCGGCAGGUUAUACACAGUGUAGAGUUUCAGCUCCUAGGCGGAUCGAGAGGUUAUUCUUUGGAUGAUUGAGGGUAGAGUAUUAAGGUUCAUUCUUCAGAUGGGUUUUGAUAGCAGUGUCGGUGGGUGUUCUUUGGUGCAAGAUGACCCCUCUGUUUCUUUUGGGUUUCAGUUAAGAUCGACUGGUGUCGUAGAAGAAGUCGAAAGGAACGAUUUCGAGGACAAAAUCCAAUUUAAGUGGGGGGGAGGGAGUUGUAACAUCCUAUUUUAGAUCGUUCUGUGAUUUAAGUCUCGUGGGCUGUAAUUCGAUAUGAGAAGGUUUUGAGGCCUUUAAGAAGAAAUUUUUAGACCCUUUUCGGAUGUGAGUAAGCUCGGUUGUGUGAUAAAACAGCUUGGUUUGUGCUUUAGAGCCCAAGGGUAUCGGUAAAGGCGUUGUUUUGGGCCUUUCAUGAAUUUUGGAUCUGAGUUCGAGUGUGUUUCAGGAAAAGUUGAUAGAUGUAUAGGGCUUCUCGUUACCUUUCUGUGGAUAUAAAGAACGUCAAAAUCAGAGUUAGAACGCAGAAGUUAUGAUCAUUUGAUGUUUGGACCUUUCAUGAAUUUUAGACCUUUUCUAGACCUGGAAAGUCAUAAAGGUGGAAACUUUAUGACUUAGAAUGAUGUUGUAGGACUAUAUCUAAGUGUUGGAAGAAAAAGGAAUUAAGAGAUUAAGCACUUAAUGGAAAAGUGCCUUGUGGCCGAGUACACCGGGCGUACCUCCGGGUACGCUGCAUGUACUCGUAUAGGGUCCCGAUUCUGGAUGGUGACUACGCUGUGCGUACGAGCUGAGUACGCUAGGCAUACUUAGCCUGAAGUUGACUUUUUGACCUUGACUUUCAUUGACCAUUGACUUUUGACCUAUUUUGAUCUUGGGUCAAACUUGAGGGUUUUGGGCUAUUAAUUAAGAUUUUAUCUUAUUCUAGUAUUAGUGGAUUUUCGAGUGCAAGUAGUGCAGAGAAGGGAUCGUGUCACAGUGCUUCAGGGUUCUUUGAUUCAUGUGAGUCUUCUCACUAUAAUUACUUGUGUGGUAAUUUUAUGUGUGACCGGAGGGUCUUAUUCAUGUUAUUGAUCGGAGGGUCUUUUCGUAUUAUUGACCGGGGGCUUUUAUUUUCUUGUACUGAGAUAUAUGUGANAGAAUAAUCAAUUUCAAACCCAUCCAUUAUCCCAAGACCGCAAUGCAUGUAUUUGUGUCUAUAAAUCCUAAGAAACUUCUCAUUGCUAAAUACUCACAAUCCUUAUGAACCUUCACCCUUUAGUUUAUACGACACUCAUUUUUGCAACCCUCCGAAUCAAUCCUUAGAUAUCUUUCUUAACCUCAAGGUAUUUUUGGUUAAACUACCAAGCAUACAUAAAUUCUAGAAAUUACAACUUUGAUACCAGAAUGGAGCUCUUUGAAUUCGUCACUUCUUCGAAUAUUUGAUAUUUGCUUUCAUUGAAUUCACCACCUAUUGUUUGAUUUUUGGUAUCUUCAACUUUUUGGAUUUCUUCAGAAUUUUGAUCUUUUGAUCUUCAUACUUUUAUAGCUCCAAAAUUCAAACAACUUUUUUUUGUAAUUUCUCUCUCUUUUUUCUAUAUCUCACUUUUUUCGCUCAUACCCUACAUGCUUAAGCAAGGAGCUUAACUUCAACCCUUAUUGGUUAAGGUAUUAGCUAGUCUAAGUGCAAUGACUACAUAAGCUCUCCUGGAUAGAUUUCUGGUUUAGGCUGCAAAAAAUAUUAUGUAAUAUAAACUACUAGAUUACCUUUCAUAUCUCAUGACUUUUCACUAGGAAAUGGGAAGCCACAAAUACACUAUAACAUGUGUUGGCUCAAGUAAACAUUUGGGUUCUCAUUGGAUCAUCACAUACAAUAUUAGCAAAAUUUUAAAUUAUCACUAGAUAUUCUUAAAUUAAACUAUUAUUUCAAGUUUAUAAAUUUUUUUAACUAGUUUUUAAUUUUUCAAUUUAAAUUGCUUUUUCGACCCCCUACCCCACACUUAUUUCAUACAAUGUCUUCAUUGUACGCUAAAACUAAUAAAAACAGUAAAAAGGGAGAAAAAGGAAAAGACUCCCCUGGGGUAGUUGUGGCGAGAUCGAAUGGGGCUGCUAAAAGUUGCUCCAUAAAUGUGUUGAAAACUGGAACUGCUGCUUCUGAGUAUGCCGGUAAAUAAAACCAAGAACGCUAACUUCUAAAAUGUGGUGCAAAAGAUUGCAAAUAAAUGCAAUGUGUAAUAACCAUGACGUGGGAAAGUGUCAACCACAUCAUGUCGUCAAGUGAUGUGUAAUCUUUAUUAUGAAUAAUAACAUGGCCACGUCGUGGUAAGUGGUGGUCACGUCGUGGUAUGUAAAAUGGUAGCCUCCUCUCGUGAUGAAAAACUCCCCCACGACAUAGGAAAGUGUCAACCAUAUCAUGGCAGCCGGGAUGAUACUUCUACAUCGCGUCAAAAUAAAACUCUAUGGUGUGGGAACAACUCAUCCAUGCCAUGGGAAUCAAUGUAUAGUUAGAAACGCCACUCUUCGAAAUAAUAAUCCCUCCAAAUAUCGACGCGCACCCCACACUUAUUGAAAGUCAUGGCUCUCAAGUGUCAACUUCAAACUCUCACACGGUUUUUUCUCUCGUGACAAAUCAACAUUCGACCUUAAUUAUUGAAAUUUCUGAAAGCAUCUGAAGGGUAAAAGUUUUGCAAAGAUCUGAAACAUCAAGAGCAUCAACAUGGAAAACAAAAUUUAAACAAACUAAAAAUAAAAAUAAAAACUCACUAAAAUAACUAAAAAAACAAAAUAACUAAAAAGGAUAUCACAAUCACUCGUCUUCGUCGAAAUCAAGCUACAAUUGUUGAUUAAAUCCCUUGCAUGCAAGAGGUGGUUUGUGAAAACAAAAACUUUCGGGACCUGUCAGACUAUUUCCUUUGUUUUCUUUGCACCAUUAACUAAAAAGUAGAACAAGAGUCGACCCAACUAGUCAAGAGUAGCAAGAGUUCGGUCUUCCACUUAACCACCUCGAUACGCCUUGCUAUACUACGCCUCGUGGAUUGAGUUGGACAAAUCACCCAAAGUAGUAGACUAAACAAGUCAAGAAUUCCCUAAUCGCUUGCAAUCUCGAAACCCAUGCAAAAAGUAAAACCAAACAAUGUGUAUGAUCACGAAUUCCUGCACAUAGCAACAAAAACCUUCCCGACAAGUGAAAUGAUAUCAACGAAAAUAAAACUAAAAAAAUAAAAUAAAAAACUAACUAAAAACAAAUAACGAAUAAUCAAAUAAACUAAAUCAAUUGAAAUCCGUUCCCCGGCAACGGCGCCAAAAACUUGAUGUGCACAAAAGUACCCACUAAUUUUAAUAUUUAUAACCGAACAAACUUAGACUAUCUAUGCACUUAUAGGCAGUGUACCUAGUCAGAUUACAGUAUAGCUUAGGUAAGUCGGGUGUCGAUCACAGGGAACGGUGGAUUAAUUUAAUAUAUUUGAUUAUAGGUUACAG